rnacentral:rRNA from 1 species
UGAUUGCAUAGGAGAUACACCUGUUCCCAUGUCGAACACAGAAGUUAAGUCCUAUAACGCCGGAAGUAGUUGGGGGUUGCCCCCUGUGAGAUAAGGUAGAUGCCA